UCUAGUUUCAAAACGCUAUAGUCACAUAAUAAUGAAGUAAAAAAGGAUAAGUAUCAACUUAUCCUUUUUUAAAAGAAAAAUCCGAAGAUAUUUGGCCUUCUUCGGAUUUUUUCUAUUUUCCACAGUUUCAUGUAAUUCAUCUAGAUGAUGAACAAAUUAGUUGUUCUUUCCUCUACGGAAUAGAUAAAAUGCCCCAAGUAGCAAGAACCCUAGACUUGCCAAGAUUGACUGACCUUCUCCUGUCUGAGGGAGAUUCUUUUGAUCCGAAUGGUUCUUUUCCUCUUCAGAUUUUUCCUUUUCUUUUGAAUUCUGUACUUGUGGCUGAGCUGCUUGCUCUAGCUUUUUAAAGACUUCCUGAUCUGGAGCUGAUUCCUGGGUUUCAGGAUUAUAGUAGGCAAUCUUAUAUUCAUCCCCUUCUUUUCGAAUGGUAUAGACUCCACGUUUCAAAACUUGGAAUUGGUUGGAAAUAGUAGAGACAGAAUCAUCAUAUUUCACAAUGCCCCAAACUCCUUGUUUAGCAUCAUAAACAGACUGAAGGGUUUCGUUAUUUUCGAUGAGGCUACUUUCUAACUCUUUUAUCAUUUGAUUGAAGGUGGCACGAUCCACGUUAGGGAUGAGCAUAUAGCCAUAAGAAUCUCCAUUUUGCUUAUGAGCCUGACUAAUCGUAAGAAAUUCAUUUUCAACUUCCUUGUCUGACUGUCCUUCAUUGAUAUCCUUCCAGGCUCCCUUUUGCAAAGCCUUACUCAUACUGAUUGAACUCUUCUUAAAGAAAAAGUAACCAAUAUUCUUUUUCGAAUCGGACGAUUCUAAAAAGACACUUUGGGUUUCAGGAUAAUCCUUUUCUUGUUCUGUAAGGGAGGCUUCUUUAUCAUUGACAUAGACUUUAUAUGGAUUACUUGAUUCCAGUUUUCUCUGGUCAAUUGUAGUUGCAGCAGUAUCUGUUGAAGUGUUUUGGAUAUUGCUUCCUAAAAAGGCGAUCUUAUCCUUUAGCAUAAACCAGCUCUUAUGAGCAGUCAAUGUUUGAUUCCAGUUGGUGAAAUCCAUGGUUGCUGUCGCAUUGGCAUCAUCUAGUUUGCUCGUUCCAACGAAAGCAGACGGUAAAACUUUACCUGUAUCGCUAUCCGCUCUCUUAGCAUCCGUCUCUGUUGUACCAGGCAUCUUAUAUGGAUUAACUGUUGGCCAGUAGCCAUCGCUAUAGUGACUCAAAUCGCCAUUGUAAAGAUAGAACAUCCCAUCACUCGUAUACCAACCACGUUUAUUUUCCUUGUUCAUGUGUUCGUAAUUCAAGGUACGACUGGAAAAGAGUGACAAGCCAAAUCCAAACCCUUUCUCUGCAUUGUACAUGGCUGUUUUAUCCAUCUUGUUAAAGGCAGAUAGGUAACUUGUUCUUGGAACACUUGCGACUCCUGCAUCACUUAACAAGGAUUGCAUCAAACUGAUAUCCUUAUAAGUCUUCAAAUUCUUAAAGACAUCAUAAUAACUAUCCGAUUGAACAAUGGUCUUCACAAGACUCUGCAAACGUUGUUUGGUUUCUCCUUCAGACAUAUCCGCUAUUCGGUGAAUCCCUCUUAGUACUUCUACUGCGGCCACGUGCCCCUCGCUAUUUGCACGACUGAUCGAGCGUCCACGACUCAUAUCCAUCAGCUCUCCAUUCACCAGCAAAGGAGCAAACGAUUUAUCAAUCCAGUGGUACAUGGUUUGCAUUUUAUCUUUAUCGAUUGGACUCUUGGUCUUUUGAAUGACUGGCAACAGUUGAGACAGGCCAUCAAUCAAAACAUUCCCAUAAGCACCCGUAUAGGCAACAUUGGUGUGGUCGAUAUAGGAUCCAUCUUGAUAAAAACCUUCACCUUGGUCUACCAACUUGAACACUUGCUCAAUCGAGCGAAUGGUAGAAGAAAUUUCUUGAUCAUCCUUACGCAGUAAACCAGCUAUUACUUUUACCCUUCCCAUAUCAACUAAGUUUCCACCUAGAGCCUUAAAUGGGUUAUCAGUCGUCUUUCGGAAAUGUUCGGGAUCUGGUACAAAUUUUUCAAUCACAUCUGUAUAUUUUUUAAUUUCCUCAUCAGAGAAGUAUUCUUUCAUCAGAGACAAGGUAUUGUUGAUGGCACGAGGUGUACCGAUUUCAUAAUCCCACCAGUUCCCAACAAUGCUCUUUUCACUAUUGUAGACAUGUUUAUGCAUCCAUUCCAUGGAAUCCCUGACUGUUCGAACGACAGUUUCAUCUUGAUAAUAACGAGAAGAAGGAUUGGUCACUUGCUUGGCCAUCUCCUCUAAUUUCCGAUAAGUGGCAGUCAGAUUUGCAGACGUUUUAUAAUUUGAAAAUUUUUCCCACAAAUAGGUGCGGUCCGCCUGACUUGAAAUACUGGAUAGGCUAUCAGCUACCUUUCCUUCCAAUUCCUGGUUUAAUUUGGCCAUCUGUUCAUUUUUAGAAUCAUAGUAUUGAUUCCCAGCGAUGAUGCCAUUCCAGUCAUCCAAACGGUCUGUAUAUGUAUCCUUAACAGAGGCUAGAAUCUUCAAAGGAAUCUUUUUCACUUCCUUGCCAUCUUUACUGACAAUGACAUUGGUUGUCCCUUCCUUAAGAGGUUCUAAAAUUCCAUUUUUGACUGAAGCAACGUCAGGAUUUUCUACCUUAUAAGUAUAGUCCGCAAGAGAAAAAACAUGUUUUUUUCCAAUUGGUAAAUCAAUCUUUUCCUCAAGCUGUUUAUCUGUUUGAGAAUCCUCAGAAGGCUGGUCUGCUUCCUCUACCAGCUCAAUAUCCUUAAAGGAAACAGUCCCAGUUCCUGUUUCAUAGAAUAACUCCAGCUUGAUUUUAUCAACAUCUAAAGUCGGGCUAUAGUCUGCUUCAAUGGUCUGCCAGUCCUUUGUUCCUGACGUCGUUGCAGAAUUCCACAAUCGCUUGUCCUUACCACUUUCCUCAAUGAUACGAACCUUGGCAAUCCCGAUUUUAUUAUCUGUUUUAAUCUUGAAACGCAGUUUAUACUUUUUCUUAGCUUCAAUAGGAACCAUACGGUGAAGCGCUGCCCUUAAUUUCUCAUGGCUUGAGAUAGUGAUAGCCCCAUCCUUAGCCUCAAUGACUCGAGUUGAGGCAUCUGCAGAACUAUUCUUCUGGUCUACCCAAGCUGACCACCCCUGAGCUUUGCUUCCUGUCCACGGACUGCUUCCGUCCUCCGUCUGACCAAAAUCACCAUUUUCAACUAAAUUUUUUGUAUCCCUUUGCUGAUACUGAACUUCCUUCUGGCUUUGCUGAAUGGUAUUCGUAGUCGUUUCUUCCGCUCCAACUGUCAUAUAAUGGUUUAAUAAAAAUCCUGAUAAAACAAGUGAAGACAAACUCACAAUGAGCUUCUUUGUUUUUGUUUGCAUGUAUACACUCCAAUAAACAUAUUGUAAAAUCAAUAGGAACUAAAUCUCAAAUUAGAGAUUCUUGGAGGUAGAGCACUGUUUGGGUGAGGGGUCCAUCCCGGAUUACCAAUCUCAGAUAAACUCCGAAUGCCAAUGAAUUAUGGUCGGCAGUCAGACUGCGAGUGCUAAGAUCCGUAGUCGAAAGGGAAACAGCCCAGACCACCAGCUAAGGUCCCAAAAUAAUUGUUAAGUGGAAAAGGAUGUGGGGUUGCACAGACAACUAGGAUGUUAGCUUAGAAGCAGCUAUUCAUUCAAAGAGUGCGUAAUAGCUCACUAGUCGAGUGACCCUGCGCCGAAAAUGUACCGGGGCUAAAACAAUUUACCGAAGCUGUGGAUACCUUUAUAGGUAUGGUAGGAGAGCGUUCUAUGUGUGAUGAAGGUAUACCGUGAGGAGUGCUGGAACGCAUAGAAGUGAGAAUGCCGGUAUGAGUAGCGAAAGACAGGUGAGAAUCCUGUCCACCGUAAGACUAAGGUUUCCAGGGGAAGGCUCGUCCGCCCUGGGUUAGUCGGGACCUAAGGAGAGACCGAAAGGUGUAUCCGAUGGACAACAGGUUGAUAUUCCUGUACUAGAGUAUGUAGUGAUGGAGGGACGCAGUAGGCUAACUAAAGCAGACGAUUGGAAGAGUCUGUCUAAGCAGUGAGGUGUGAAUUGAGUCAAAUGCUUAAUUCUAUAACAUUGAGCUGUGAUGGGGAGCGAAGUUUAGUAGCGAAGUUAGUGACGUCACACUGCCAAGAAAAGCUUCUAGCGUUUAAACAUACUCUACCCGUACCGCAAACCGACACAGGUAGUCGAGGCGAGUAGCCUCAGGUGAGCGAGAGAACUCUCGUUAAGGAACUCGGCAAAAUGACCCCGUAACUUCGGGAGAAGGGGUGCUGACUUAAAGUCAGCCGCAGUGAAUAGGCCCAAGCAACUGUUUAUCAAAAACACAGCUCUCUGCUAAAUCGUAAGAUGAUGUAUAGGGGGUGACGCCUGCCCGGUGCUGGAAGGUUAAGAGGAGUGCUUAGCGUAAGCGAAGGUAUGAAUUGAAGCCCCAGUAAACGGCGGCCGUAACUAUAACGGUCCUAAGGUAGCGAAAUUCCUUGUCGGGUAAGUUCCGACCCGCACGAAAGGCGUAAUGAUUUGGGCACUGUCUCAACGAGAGACUCGGUGAAAUUUUAGUACCUGUGAAGAUGCAGGUUACCCGCGACAGGACGGAAAGACCCCAUGGAGCUUUACUGCAGUUUGAUAUUGAGUGUCUGUACCACAUGUACAGGAUAGGUAGGAGUCUAAGAGAUCGGGACGCCAGUUUCGAAGGAGACGCUGUUGGGAUACUACCCUUGUGUUAUGGCCACUCUAACCCAGAUAGGUGAUCCCUAUCGGAGACAGUGUCUGACGGGCAGUUUGACUGGGGCGGUCGCCUCCUAAAAGGUAACGGAGGCGCCCAAAGGUUCCCUCAGAAUGGUUGGAAAUCAUUCGCAGAGUGUAAAGGUAUAAGGGAGCUUGACUGCGAGAGCUACAACUCGAGCAGGGACGAAAGUCGGGCUUAGUGAUCCGGUGGUUCCGUAUGGAAGGGCCAUCGCUCAACGGAUAAAAGCUACCCUGGGGAUAACAGGCUUAUCUCCCCCAAGAGUUCACAUCGACGGGGAGGUUUGGCACCUCGAUGUCGGCUCGUCGCAUCCUGGGGCUGUAGUCGGUCCCAAGGGUUGGGCUGUUCGCCCAUUAAAGCGGCACGCGAGCUGGGUUCAGAACGUCGUGAGACAGUUCGGUCCCUAUCCGUCGCGGGCGUAGGAAAUUUGAGAGGAUCUGCUCCUAGUACGAGAGGACCAGAGUGGACUUACCGCUGGUGUACCAGUUGUCUUGCCAAAGGCAUCGCUGGGUAGCUAUGUAGGGAAGGGAUAAACGCUGAAAGCAUCUAAGUGUGAAACCCACCUCAAGAUGAGAUUUCCCAUGAUUAUAUAUCAGUAAGAGCCCUGAGAGAUGAUCAGGUAGAUAGGUUAGAAGUGGAAGUGUGGCGACACAUGUAGCGGACUAAUACUAAUAGCUCGAGGACUUAUCCAA
rnacentral:rRNA from 1 species